rnacentral:rRNA from 1 species
ACGGCUACCUUGUUACGACUUAGCCCCAGUCACCAGUUUUACCCUAGGGCGCUCCUUGCGGUUACGCACUUCAGGUACCCCCGGCUCCCAUGGCUUGACGGGCGGUGUGUACAAGGCCCGGGAACGUAUUCACCGCGCCGUGGCUGAUGCGCGAUUACUAGCGAAUCCAGCUUCAUGAAGUCGGGUUGCAGACUUCAAUCCGAACUGAGAGAGGUUUUUGGGAUUGGCAUCCACUUGCGUGGUAGCAGCCCUCUGUACCCCCCAUUGUAACACGUGUGUAGCCCCGGACGUAAGGGCCGUGCUGAUUUGACGUCAUCCCCACCUUCCUCACAUCUUACGAUGGCAGUCCCGACAGAGUCCUCAGCAUGACCUGUUAGUAACUAUCGGCAAGGGUUGCGCUCGUUAUGGCACUUAAGCCGACACCUCACGGCACGAGCUGACGACAACCAUGCAGCACCUUCACAACCGCUAUUGCUAGCUAUGGCGUUUCCGCCAUAUUCGGUUGCAAUUUAAGCCCGGGUAAGGUUCCUCGCGUAUCAUCGAAUUAAACCACAUGUUCCUCCGCUUGUGCGGGCCCCCGUCAAUUCCUUUGAGUUUCACCGUUG